CUAGAAUAAAAGUAGCUAUGUUCUUCAUAACUCAAAGAAUUUGGCGGUUAAUAAAAAUUUUUAGAGGAACCUGUGUAGUAAUUGAUAAUCCACGAUAGUGCUUACCUUAAUUAUAUUUGUAUAUCUCUAUGGUUUAUAAGAUUGUUUUAAAAGAACAUUGUCUUUUAGAUUACUCUUGUAUUUUAGGUCAAGGUGCAGUUUUUUUCAGGUUGUCAUGGGUUACUUUAUUUUAAUUUAUUAUUAUUAUUUGUCUUUUUGAUUAAGUAUAAUAGGAUUUAAAAGUAAAUUAAAUUAAUUAGUUUAUUUGAAUAUU
rnacentral:rRNA from 1 species